rnacentral:rRNA from 1 species
GUCGAGCGCCCAGCAAUGGGAGCGGCGGACGGGUGAAUAACGCGUGGGAAUAUGCCCUUUGGUUCGGAACAACUCAGGGAAACUUGAGCUAAUACCGGAUGAGCCAGUAAUGGGAAAGAUUUAUCGCCAAAGGAUUAGCCCGCGUCCGAUUAGCUAGUUGGUGAGGUAACGGCCCACCAAGGCACCGAUCGGUAGCUGGUCUGAGAGGACGACCAGCCACACUGGGACUGAGACACGGCCCAGACUCCUACGGGAGGCAGCAGUGGGGAAUCUUGGACAAUGGAGGAAACUCUGAUCCAGCCAUGCCGCGUGAGUGAUGAAGGCCUUCGGGUUGUAAAACUCUUUCGGCGGGGACGAUAGUGACGGUACCCGCAGAAGAAGCUCCGGCUAACUUCGUGCCAGCAGCCGCGGUAAUACGAAGGGGGCUAGCGUUGUUCGGAAUUACUGGGCGUAAAGCGCGCGCAGGCGGCCUUUCAAGUCAGGGGUGAAAGCCCGGAGCUCAACUCCGGAAUUGCCUUUGAAACUGUCGGGCUCGAGUACGGGAGAGGUGAGUGGAAUUCCCAGUGUAGAGGUGAAAUUCGUAGAUAUUGGGAAGAACACCGGUGGCGAAGGCGGCUCACUGGCCCGUAACUGACGCUCAGGCGCGACAGCGUGGGGAUCAAACAGGAUUAGAUACCCUGGUAGUCCACGCCGUA